rnacentral:rRNA from 1 species
GACGAACGCUGGCGGCGUGCCUAAUACAUGCAAGUUGAGCGCUGAAGGUUGGUACUUGUACCAACUGGAUGAGCAGCGAACGGGUGAGUAACGCGUGGGGAAUCUGCCUUUGAGCGGGGGACAACAUUUGGAAACGAAUGCUAAUACCGCAUAAAAACUUUAAACACAAGUUUUAAGUUUGAAAGAUGCAAUUGCAUCACUCAAAGAUGAUCCCGCGUUGUAUUAGCUAGUUGGUGAGGUAAAGGCUCACCAAGGCGAUGAUACAUAGCCGACCUGAGAGGGUGAUCGGCCACAUUGGGACUGAGACACGGCCCAAACUCCUACGGGAGGCAGCAGUAGGGAAUCUUCGGCAAUGGACGAAAGUCUGACCGAGCAACGCCGCGUGAGUGAAGAAGGUUGUCGGAUCGUAAAACUCUGUUGGUAGAGAAGAACGUUGGUGAGAGUGGAAAGCUCAUCAAGUGACGGUAUCUACCCAGAAAGGGACGGCUAACUACGUG